GAAUAUUAUCAUAACAAUUAUCAUACCCUCUUCAAGAGGAACUUUUCCACCUUGAAGAGGGUAAAAAAAAAUCUUCACUCACAAAAUACCAUAGGACGGCCCACGACUCAACGCAUUGGCCAUGUUGUCGAUCGAAAGCCAGCUGAUUCAGCAGCUACAUGACUUCAUUCCCAAAGUCAUCGAAAUGUUUGCCCAGAGAAAGAACCAUCGUGCCACCUUUCUCUUCAUUUGAGUCCUCAGCCUUGACAGAGAAACUCCAGGUGAUGGGAACGACCGACCUCCUCAGCCUGAGGGAAAGAAAUUCUCCACCGUAUAACUAACAAAACAUGCUCCACGAUGAGAGUCGCAUGGAGGAGUCCCAUAUCGGACAUCAGAUAAUCUAGCCACUAGACUACCCAAAGAGAAUUCCAAUCAGCCUGCUGCAGGGGGAGAAAUGAUUUACCUUCAUGAAACUACUCUGGACUGGAAGACGACCUGCCUCCUAAGUGGAUUCAACACGCAAUUGUCCAUACAGAUGCAUGUCUAUUCACACCUCAAACGAAGCCAUGGCAAACUGCUGGACGAUACGUUCUGACCCAGCUCCUGAGAUGUUGACACCAGUGAAAGGGAGAAUUCAACCAACCAAAAUGAAUAUUAUUGUGUGGGUUAAACGCUAAUGUUUAAAUGUGAACACUCCCCCAUAAAGUGCUGUGUGUUUCAACAUGCUAUAUUACAUCAUGUCCGUCUUGGUUAAUGUAUUUCUACGACAGCCGAAUUGGAUUUGCCUGUUAGCUGAUUGCUUCUGAUUGAUCAGUGCCAGUAUCCCGUCACCACAUUGAAGUGUGAUUAUCAGAAGUGUCAUGAGUUGGUUCUUCCUGUUCUCAUUAAUGGUCAGGGUAAGUUGUAUCUUUGUGGUUUUGUUGAACUUAACUCUGGACAUUCUGUAUAUCAUUAAAUAAUGCAAAUAAUUUCAUAGGUAAAGUUUUAGACAGUGAUUAUUUCAUACC